rfam:Verticillium dahliae VdLs.17 supercont1.24 genomic scaffold, whole genome shotgun sequence.
CUCCGCGUGGCGCAAUGGUAGCGCGUAUGACUUCUACUAAUUGAGAUAUCAUAAGGUUGCGAGUUCGAGCCUCGCCGUGGAGU